GACGAACGCUGGCGGCGUGCUUAACACAUGCAAGUCGAACGGAAAGGCCCUGCUUGCAGGGUACUCGAGUGGCGAACGGGUGAGUAACACGUGGGUGAUCUGCCCUGCACUUCGGGAUAAGCCUGGGAAACUGGGUCUAAUACCGGAUAGGAGCCAUUUUUAGUGUGAUGGUUGGAAAGUUUUUUCGGUGUAGGAUGAGCUCGCGGCCUAUCAGCUUGUUGGUGUGGUAAUGGACUACCAAGGCGGCGACGGGUAGCCGGCCUGGGAGGGUGGACGGCCACAUUGGGACUGAGAUACGGCACAGACACCGACGGGAGGCAGCAGUGGGGAAUAUUGCACAAUGGGCGCAAGCCUGAUGCAGAGACGCCGCGUGGGGGAUGACGGCCUUCGGGUUGUAAACUCCUUUCGCUAGGGACGAAGCUUUUUGUGACGGUACCUAGAUAAGAAGCACCGGCUAACUACGUG
rnacentral:rRNA from 1 species